AUUGAACGCUGGCGGCAGGCUUAACACAUGCAAGUCGAGCGGAGAUGAGGUGCUUGCGCCUUAUCUUAGCGGCGGACGGGUGAGUAAUGCUUAGGAAUCUGCCUAUUAGUGGGGGACAACAUUCCGAAAGGAAUGCUAAUACCGCAUACGUCCUACGGGAGAAAGCAGGGGAUCUUCGGACCUUGCGCUAAUAGAUGAGCCUAAGUCGGAUUAGCUAGUUGGUGGGGUAAAGGCCUACCAAGGCGACGAUCUGUAGCGGGUCUGAGAGGAUGAGCCGCCACACUGGGACUGCGACACGGCCCAGACUCCUACGGGAGGCAGCAGUGGGGAAUAUUGGACAAUGGGGGGAACCCUGAUCCAGCCAUGCCGCGUGUGUGAAGAAGGCCUUAUGGUUGUAAAGCACUUUAAGCGAGGAGGAGGCUACUGAGACUAAUACUCUUGGAUAGUGGACGUUACUCGCAGAAUAAGCACCGGCUAACUCUGUGCCAGCCGCCGCGGUAA
rnacentral:rRNA from 1 species